GGACUACCCGGGUAUCUAAUCCCGUUUGCUCCCCUGGCCUUCGCGCCUCAGCGUCAGGAACUGUCCAGAGACCCGCCUUCGCCACCGGUCUUCCUCACGAUAUCUACGCAUUUCACUGCUACACCGUGAAUUCCAGUCUCCUCUCCAGUCCUCUAGCAAAGCAGUAUCCAGUGCAGUUUAAGAGUUGAGCUCCUAGAUUUCACACCAGACUUACCCUGCGGCCUACGCGCCCUUUACGCCCAAUGAAUCCGAACAACGCUUGAGACCUCUGUAUUACCGCGGCGGCUGGCAC
rnacentral:rRNA from 2 species